rnacentral:misc_RNA from 1 species
CUGCCCUCGAGCGCGGUUCGGCCCCUAGCGGGCCGCGCCGCCGCCCGGUGUUGGGGAUCUGCUGGCGACCCGCCCGCAGGCCCUGAAAAGAAGUGGCGGUCCCGCCGCGGCGCCCCCUGCGUAGUAGUAAAACCACCUCGCAUCGGGUCCCGGCGAAGGCCAGCCGUCAAACCUAUCUCUAAGAU